AUGGAGUUUAGGCUGACCUGGGUUUUCCUUGUUGCUGUUUUAAAAGGUGUCCAGUCUGAGGUGCAGCUGGUGGAGUCUGGGGGAGACCAGGUGAAGCCUGGGGGUCCCUGACACUCUCCUGUGCAGCCUCUGGAUUCACUUUCAGCAGCUACUACAUGCACUGAGUCUGCCAGGCUCCGGGCAGGAGGCUGUAGUGGGUCGCAUGGAUAGGUAUGAUGGAAGUAGCACAAGCUAGGCAGAUUCUGGGAAGGGUCGACUCACCAUCUCCAGAGACAACGGCAAGAACACGCUGUGUCUGCAGAUGAACAGCCUGAGAGCCGAGGACACGGCCAUGUAUUACUGUGCAAGAGACACAGUAAUUCAUGGAGGACAAAAAUGA